rnacentral:sRNA from 1 species
UAGUAGCCCGAUUGCGCGGCUCAGCCCAUA